rnacentral:rRNA from 1 species
UCCGUAGGUGAACCUGCGGAGGGAUCAUUACCGAGUUAUACAACUCAUCAACCCUGUGAACAUACCUAAAACGUUGCUUCGGCGGGAACAGACGGCCCUGUAACAACGGGCCGCCCCCGCCAGAGGACCCCUAACUCUGUUUUUAUAAUGUUUUUCUGAGUAAACAAGCAAAUAAAUUAAAACUUUCAACAACGGAUCUCUUGGCUCUGGCAUCGAUGAAGAACGCAGCGAAAUGCGAUAAGUAAUGUGAAUUGCAGAAUUCAGUGAAUCAUCGAAUCUUUGAACGCACAUUGCGCCCGCCAGUAUUCUGGCGGGCAUGCCUGUUCGAGCGUCAUUACAACCCUCAGGCCCCCGGGCCUGGCGUUGGGGAUCGGCGGAAGCCCCCUGUGGGCACACGCCGUCCCUCAAAUACAGUGGCGGUCCCGCCGCAGCUUCCAUUGCGUAGUAGCUAACACCUCGCAACUGGAGAGCGGCGCGGCCAUGCCGUAAAACACCCAACUUCUGAAUGUUGACCUCGAAUCAGGUAGGAAUACCCGCUGAACUUAAGCAUAUCAAUAAGCGGAGGA